rnacentral:rRNA from 1 species
GGACGAACGCUGGCGGCACGCUUAACACAUGCAAGUCGAACGAAGAUGUUUCACCGUAGCUUGCUACACCGAGACAUUUUAGUGGCGGACGGGUGAGUAACACGUGAGCAAUCUGCCUUUCAGAGGGGGAUACCAGUUGGAAACGACUGUUAAUACCGCAUAACAUAUCGAGAUCGCAUGAUAUUGAUAUCAAAGAUUUAUCGCUGAAAGAUGAGCUCGCGUCUGAUUAGCUAGAUGGCGGGGUAACGGCCCACCAUGGCGACGAUCAGUAGCCGGUCUGAGAGGAUGAACGGCCACAUUGGGACUGAGAUACGGCCCAGACUCCUACGGGAGGCAGCAGUGGGGAAUAUUGGGCAAUGGGCGAAAGCCUGACCCAGCAACGCCGCGUGAAGGAAGAAGGCUUUCGGGUUGUAAACUUCUUUUGUCAGGGACGAAUAAAUGACGGUACCUGACGAAUAAGCCACGGCUAACUACGUG